rnacentral:lncRNA from 1 species
AUGGCAACGCCACAAAAAAUGCCGAAGCAAACACGGAGCAGAAUCGCUGUUUCCUCCCCAAAGGGAGCCCGUGGGGACCCCAGAGUGUCCCCGCCUCUGCUCGGGGCGCAGAGGGGGGAGCGGGGCUGGUGCCCCCGGGCCGUGACGGGGCUCCCACCUUCCCCUUUCGAGAGGAUGCUCGGCCCCGCAGGAACCGCGCUCGGCUGCGCCUGCCUCUGCACUGGCAGCCUCCUGCAGCCGGCAGGCUUUGCACCGCGGGUGCUGCCUGCAUCCCAGACCCAUCCUGCAUCCCAAAUCCAUCCUGCAUCCCAGACCCAUCCUGCAUCCCAGAGCCCUCCUGCAUCCCAGAGCCCUCCUGCAUCCCAGAGCCCUCCUGCAUCCCAGAGCCCUCCUGCAUCCCAGAGCCCUCCUGCAUCCCAGAGCCCUCCUGCAUCCCAGAGCCCUCCUGCAUCCCAGAGCCCUCCUGCAUCCCAGAGCCCUCCUGCAUCCCAGAGCCCUCCUGCAUCCCAGAGCCCUCCUGCAUCCCAGAGCCCUCCUGCAUCCCAGAGCCCUCCUGCAUCCCAGAGCCCUCCUGCAUCCCAGAGCCCUCCUGCAUCCCAGAGCCCUCCUGCAUCCCAGAGCCCUCCUGCAUCCCAGAGCCCUCCUGCAUCCCAGAGCCCUCCUGCAUCCCAGAGCCCUCCUGCAUGUCAAAUCCAUCCUACACCGUGGGUGCUGCCUGAAUCCCAAAUCCAUCCUGCAUCCCAGAGCUCACCUGCAUCCCAAACCCAUCCUGCAUCCCAAAUCCAUCCUGCAUCCCAGGUCCAUCCCCCACCCCAUCUCCCUGCUGCACCCUGGUUUCAAGGCAGCUCCUUUGAGGUGCAGGGGAGGGGGGCUCAGCAGGUCCCUCCAGGGCAGAGGUGCCACUGCCUGUGGUCCCUGUGUGCAGGGGACAGCAGGGGGACAGCAGGGGACAGUGCAUGGCCUCGUGUGCUGAUGUGUUGGGCACAUUCAUCUUCAGUUUCUCAAGGUGACUUUUGAUAAAGCAUCUGUAAAACCACGUUGUUUUUCUUUGAGUAUUAUUAAAGUGCUUGAUUUAUGCUAAUUAAAUACCAAUUAACUUCCAAGCACUUAAUGUGCUUUAAGGACAUAA